CUACGGGAGGCAGCAGUGGGGAAUCUUGGACAAUGGGCGCAAGCCUGAUCCAGCCAUGCCGCGUGAGUGACGAAGGCCUUAGGGUCGUAAAGCUCUUUCGCCAGGGAUGAUAAUGACAGUACCUGGUAAAGAAACCCCGGCUAACUCCGUGCCAGCAGCCGCGGUAAUACGGAGGGGGUUAGCGUUGUUCGGAAUUACUGGGCGUAAAGCGCACGUAGGCGGACUGGAAAGUUGGGGGUGAAAUCCCGGGGCUCAACCUCGGAACUGCCUCCAAAACUACUAGUCUAGAGUUCGAGAGAGGUGAGUGGAAUUCCGAGUGUAGAGGUGAAAUUCGUAGAUAUUCGGAGGAACACCAGUGGCGAAGGCGGCUCACUGGCUCGAUACUGACGCUGAGGUGCGAAAGUGUGGGGAGCAAACAGGAUUAGAUACCCUGGUAGUCCACACCGUAAACGAUGAAUGCCAGUCGUCAGCAAGCAUGCUUGUUGGUGACACACCUAACGGAUUAAGCAUUCCGCCUGGGGAGUACGGUCGCAAGAUUAAAACUCAAAGGAAUUGACGG
rnacentral:rRNA from 1 species